rnacentral:tRNA from 1 species
AGCAGUGUGGCCUUGAGAAUGGCGUGCUUGGCUGGAACACAGAAGACCUGGGUUCUAUUCCCAGCUCUACUG